UGAUGGUGAUGAGGACAAUUUUUGAGCAAGCCAUUAAAUCUCUCCCAACCUUGGUAGAGAUUUUCUCCAUCUUUUUUUUUGAAACUCAAGAUCUUAAUCCUCAAAUG
rnacentral:snoRNA from 1 species